rnacentral:rRNA from 1 species
UACAGGGGGUGCAAACGUUGCUCGGAAUUAUUGGGCGUAAAGAGCUCGUAGGCGGUUUGUCGCGUCUGCUGUGAAAACUCGGGGCUUAACUCCGGGCCUGCAGUGGGUACGGGCAGACUAGAGUGCGGUAGGGGAGACUGGAAUUCCUGGUGUAGCGGUGAAAUGCGCAGAUAUCAGGAGGAACACCGGUGGCGAAGGCGGGUCUCUGGGCCGUAACUGACGCUGAGGAGCGAAAGCGUGGGGAGCGAACAGG